CUAUUCCUCAGAUAUCAGGGUGUCCUUGAGACCGAAGAGGGAAUCCCGUGCGAAUCGGGAACGGGCCCGCCGCUGUAACCGGGGACGCGCAACGCACAUGCCACUGAAUAUUAUCGGGAAGGCGCGGUGCAGCGGACGAUCCGAGAGUCAGAAGACCUGCCUUGAUGAUGAUCGGACC
rnacentral:ncRNA from 2 species